rnacentral:sRNA from 1 species
CCCAGAGGCCCUUAGGGGCAUUUCCUCCCUGACUUAGGCCACCCUUCGGGGUGGCUUUUUUUCGGCUCCAU